rnacentral:lncRNA from 1 species
AAGUUUUAUUCAAAUUUUAUUUAAAAUUUAAAUUAAAUUUAUGGAUUCAAAUUGAAAUUUAUUAUAAUUUUAAGUUUGGAUUUGAAUAAAUCGAAAUUUAGUUUUAUAUUUUGAAUUAUUGGUUCAAUUUCAAAUUUUAAUUUUUUCAAAAAAAUAUAUUUAAAAUUUUGACAUAAAUUUUUAGUGUUUAAUUUUUAGUUUGAAUUUAAACUAAUAUAUCAUAAAGAUAAAAUUGACAUAUUAAUUUGGUUACGUUUCUGAUAUCUAUCCGAAUCAAUUAAACACUGAUAAUGGAAAUGGUUCAUUGCGAUUCCAAUUCAGAUAGCGAACCAAACAGAAUGAAAUAAUGAAUAAUUUCGAUUCCGUUUUCAGUUUUUUCUCAUUUCAAUUCUGAUAGCGAUUCCGACUUCGAACCAAACACACCCAUAUUUUCUAUGUUAUGUAUGUACAUUAUCUCCAGUUAACUUCAUUCUC